GGGUCUGUGCCCGAGCGCCCUAAACCCUCCCGGUGAUCCGGGAUUUCACAGCUGCAGGGCACGGACCGGACCGGGUCUGUGCCCCAAUGCUCUAAACCCUCACGGGGAUCCGGGAUCUCACAGCUGCAGGGCACGGACCGGACCGGGUCUGUGCCCCAAUGCCCUAAACCCUCCCGGUGAUCCGGGAUUUCACAGCUGCAGGGCACAUCUCGCCACCCACUGCAAAGAAUACUCGCAGUUCUGCUGUGGCAGUAACAAGGAAACAACCUUCCCUGGGCACCUGGCAGCUGUGUUUCCUUAGGAGGUUUAUCUCAUUUGUCAGGCUGCUCUUAAGAAGAGCUUUGCUAUAAAUACCAAAUUUACCAGCCCUAGCUCAGCACCGGGCCAGCCCCUCUCUCCCACAUUUGUCCUUUGCCCAGGCCUUGCUUGCUCUGAGUUGGUUGCACUCCGUGGCAGAUUUGAAGCCCACUGCACUUUUCACACUUAGCUGAUCUCUGAAUUAGACCUGUUAAAUGAAUAAACCAGCUAAUUACACACAAAUCCUAUCAAGGGAUUUUUCUUCUCUCAAGGAGGCAGCUUCUAAUAUCUGCAGGAUGGUUUAGGAAGCUUUUUAGCAGAGCUGUGUUCAGGAGCACAAAUAGGGCUGUUCCUCACCAGGCACUUCAGUAAGUGAAGUCCAAAUGCUCAGCCCCCUUACCUGGGCCUCUAUUUCCACCUGGUGAUUUUCUCUUAAUAAGCUUCAGGAAGCAAAAGGAGCUGGAAAAUCAGGUCAGUGGUUGCCACAAAUUGCCCAAAGCCCGAAGGGCAGUGAGGCUGUGCUGAAAUGAGUGGCAGGAGCAGGGCCUGGCACUGGCCCCAUGGCUGUGGGGAAAGCCAGGCUGGAAUCCUGCUCUGCUCAGAGGCAGAGCUCAGUCCCAGCUCUGACAAAAGCCCCUUACGUGGGCUGUGUGCUGGUUAACACUGCAAAAGGAGCCUGGCAUGAAUUCAUUAUCGUUCACACCUUGUCAGAGCAAGGGGGAGAGAACAGUUACAGGUCAAUUACCAGGUGUGCUCUGCCUUAAAAUAACCGGGAAAUGGCAGGGCUGGAGCGUUGCUUGGGCUGCGGAGCCCGAAGCUGGAGUCAGCUGCCAUUGAACCGCUGUUCCUCCCUGCGCUGGGAAUCAAUCCUGCCGUGUCAGAUGCUGUGCUCACCUGUCCCAUCAAACCCCUCACAGAAAGCUUUCAAGUUUCAUCUCCGAGAGUAUUUGGGCCAGAUCAGCAAGGUGCUUCCAGCUGCAGCGGAUUCAGGCUCUCCCUAAUGAGGCUGCAGCGUUGAAAGGAGUCACUUGCAAAGGAAGAAAAAAGCCCCGAGUGGGGAGAGGGACCCAGAGGGAGCCAGGUGCCGUCAGAUUUGGUGCACUGUGUGUGCACUUUGUGCUCCAUGGAUAGACACUCAGAGACUGGAAGUGCAGGGUGUGGAGAGGGGGAAAAAGGAGAAGAAAUAAAGCCAAACCAGCUGCAGACCUCAGUUCUGCUAGGAAAGCAUGGAGGUAAAAAAAGAAGAAGGAAAAAAAACCAACCAAAAAACAAGGAAGAGAACUGAGGAAUGGAGGAAAAAAAGGGGUUGAAUACAGAACUCAGAUGAUAAAAAUGAGAGAUACAAAAUAAACUAUGAGGAAGAAGAUAAUCAGUGCCCAGGUGACUUCCUUGGCCACACUUGACGUGCGUGGUGAAAUCUCAGGCCUGAAGCACGAGGCACAGGCGCGGCUCUGUCUGGAACCACGCACAUUUAAUCAUCCAGGUGCCAGUUACAGGCUUAAGUUACAGGAGAGAGGAGGAAUACGGGCUAAUUCUGCAAAAUAAACCCCUUGGACAAAGGCCAGGCAAGCUGACACCGCGCUGCCAGCAGUGUCUGCAGGAGCACCCCGGGGCCAGCCGGGUCGGUGUCCCCCUGGUGAUGGGGCUGGCAGCAGCCAGGGGCCACCGUGGGGCUGGGGGUGCCUGUGGGGCACAGGGCUGGGGUUCCCUUGGAAAACGAGCCAGGGAAGCACCUGGGCUGGAGCAGUGCUAGAGCAGGGGCCGUGCUCCUGAGGAGCUCCCAGGGCAGAUGUCUGCAGCCCUGGGCCUGCCCCCAGCCCACGCAGGAGCGUGGGUGGCUCUGGCGAGGCAGGCAGGGCUCUGCUGCUGGGCAAACCCUGCCAGGCUGCUCGGGGUGAAGGGUGCCCACAGCCAGGCUGUGCAGUGGGCAGAGCCCCCAGGGGUGAGCAGCCCCAGCCCCGGCUCUGCUGGGUCAUUUCCCUGCUGCUCACUUGUCUCACCUGUCCCCAGGGACGGGUGGCACUUCCCAGGGCGCUGGGGAGGAUUCCUCAGUCGGUUUUGUUCAGUGCUUUGAAGGUAACUAGUGCUGAGGGGGAAAAAGAGAUGGUGCUUGAAAUGGAAAUGUUCCCCUUGCUGCGGCUCUGUUUUCUCUCCCUUCAGAAAAGUCCAUUCAGAGGUGCCAUCAAAGGCAGCAGUGUUGUACGGCAGGGAAAGAGCAGCUACAAGGGGGAGGUGGGAGCCAGGCACCUCCUCCUGGAGGAGCAAUUUGCAGUGGGAAGGACAAAAAUGCAAAUCUGAAAUCAAUCCAUCUCUCCCUUGAAUGCUUUGGGCAUUUAUAACAGCUCAAAGGGAAGCCGGUCACUUAGGACAUGAGGGAAGCUUGUAAAUGCAUUUACUGCUGCGCUGGAGGAGCAGUGGUGCAUUUACAGAGGGAUGCAGAAAGUGCCCAGCCGAGGAGUCCCACCUGAGCAGGAGAGGGCGGCUCAGCAGUGCCAGAGCAAACCUUUGAACAAGCAGAAAGCAGCAGGGCAGCCCUGGCAAACAGCCCCUGGUUUGGGCUCCUCUUCCCCCCCUGAUAUCAGAUUCAGCUCUUUGACAUCUGCUUCUAUUGUGAGGGCUCAGUCGAUAAUUGAUUAUGAGCAAUCAAUUGAUAUUCACUGUAAGGAAUGCAGAAAUGAGCCAGCUCUGUGCUGUGCUUGUGGCUGACAGUGAAUUGAGUCCAGGAGUUUAGAAGACAUUGAAAAUGCCCCUCUUUGAGCUGUGUGAGAUCUGCACGAGGCACCUUGUCCUUGUCCCUGUGCACGGCCUGCUGGAACACUGCUUUGCUGUUGGAGAGGAGCUGGAAAAGCCUCGAGAUGUGUGUGUGUGGCCAUGGAGCUGGAUGUGCCCUGUGCUUGUGUGAGUGGAUGUGCAGCAGUGUCCAGUGGCUGCUCAGACACCAGCCUGGGAGGCUUGAAGGUGAAAAGGUACCAAAAACCACAAAAAUUCACCCCAAAUCCUCCGGUGCUCGGAUCCCUUUUCCAUCUCCCUGCUUCAAAGGGCUGCUGCCAGUUUGUGAUGUUGGUAGAGCCCAGCAGCUGGUUGGGGCUGAAAGCAAGUUAGUUCUGUUUAAUUUGUUUAGCAGGUUGUAGCUGGUAUGUAAAUCCCAGAAUGGGUUCCUGUGCCUGUCCCUAGGUGUAGGCAGGAUCCAGAGCCCGGCAUCAAGGGGUGAUGCAAUUAAUCCCACUCCUGAGGAACGACUCAUUAGUCAUUUGCAGCUUCAGCACUGCUGCCUUUCAAGGUGCACAAAUCUCUCGUUAGACACGUUUCAUGUUCUGCAGAUGCCAUUUUGUCCCCUCUCCACAUGCACUGGAACAUGCCCAAGUUUACAGAAAUGAGAGGAGCGAUUGUUAGGGCUGAAAUUUUUUUGUUCCCUUUCAAUGGGAUUUUUUUCCCUUUGCACGGCGCACAUCCUGGGCUUUGAUAAAUGAGUCUCACCAGACACUGUGGUAAGCCAACCUCUGCUAAUAUUCAUUAUGCAGAACCCACUAGGAAAUGGUCUGAGUCAGGGAAAUUGGAAACCUUUAAAAGAUAAAAAGCUUUUAAAUUUUUUUUUAAUUUAAUGAGGAAACUAAUUUAUAACAUUUUAUAUUUCUGGGAUUUAAAAUAUUCAAAAUAUUAAACCCAGAAAUUUCGUGGUUGUAUGGGCUGUGUGUUAGAAACCUGAGAAUGGUCACGCAGGAAAUGGAGCUUUUCCCCCGAAUUCCUGAGGUGUUUGGGAGGUGUGUAGGGACAGGGUUUGGUGGUGCACUGGGCAGGGUUGAUGGUUGGACUGGGUGAUGUCAGAGGCUUUUCCUGAAUGGUUCUGUGACCCUGGCAGAGCAGCAGGACUGAGCCGACACAGAGACAGAACACUUUCGGGGGGCAGGAGCUGCAUGGGAAGUGGCUGAGGGUGCUCAGGGGGCUGCAGGAGCCCCGAGGUGGGGCUGGCUGGGAGCAGCCCCUGAUCCCGUUCCCACCCGGGCAGCCCCAGGAGCUUCUCCCUGUCCCAGAGGGACACAGGAGUGGCCGGGCCAUGGUCACCUGCCAGCUCAGCCCGUCCUUUUGGGAACUUGUUCCUCCAGCCUCCCAGGAGUUGCAUCAGCUCAGGGAAGAAGAGCACUGGGCUUUUGCAGCUUCUGCUCCCUCCAGCGGGUGUGAAUAUGCCCAGGCUGAUUUAAAUCUCAUUUCCGUGACUUCUGCUCCCACUGCAGCCCAGACAGACACUUCUAUUCAGAGCUCUCUGUGUCCAGGAGGAGUUCACACACAUCCAGAGCACUGGCCUCCAAGUGGGAUGAGCCUUCCAAAAAUUCCCUGCUAAUAUCUGUGGAAAUGAGAUUUUAAAUUCCUGAGAUUUCUACAGUAAACAAAACAAAGCAGAAAACCCGCCAAAGCAAACAGCUUUCAGCUAAAGGGCUGGUAUUCAGAUAUGACAAAAGGAAAGAAAGAAUAUAAUCCCUUUUUGUGAGUGGAGUUAGGUCAUCUGUAAAAGCCUCUCAGAAUAUUAUCUCCCGAGCUAAUCGCUGUAUUGACAUUUGCCUGUUUCAUUAGAGCUGAGUUUUUACUGCAUUGCUGAGGUUACAACCUGACUCAUCUGUCAUGGCCAAGGACUGGUUUGUAAUUUCAUGACUGAAAUUCAUGAGGAGAAUUAAAAACCAAAAAACCCCUCCAUUA